GGAAGCGAGGAUUGGAGGGGACCCAGAGAAAAACCCACAGAUGAUAAACUAGUCUGAAGCGUGGAAGAAAACACAGUUUCGGUGCUCUCUGUUAAUUGCUCAAACGCAGCCCUAGUAUGUUUUUAUUCUGUCCAGGCAGAUGUAAAGAUACAUCUGUACAGUUUAAGUGCAUUAGGAAGGCUUUGCUGUUUGCCAGUGGUAGCAAUUAAAAGGCAAAGGAGUCGUCCUAUGGUGGAGUCUACAAGGGCGUUGGAUGUCUGAUUGAGACGAUACUUAAGAAACACAGGUGGAACGAGGAGAAAACAAAAUCACACUUCUGAUCUGUGGGUCCUCAGGAGGCUGAUGGAUAAUCACAUUUGGCAGUUCCCCACACAGCUGCUCAGGAGAACCGAAGGCUCAGCGGGCGUCCUGCGAUCCCACGAGCGAGCCAGCUUCCUCUUCCACACCCAGGAACUCGAGAGCUGAUGUAGGGUCCGAGAUGAGGAGCACCAGACCCAAUGCGACUCUCCCUCUGUGUAUCUUGCACAGCAAUGGCUUGUUCGGUACAUUUGUUACAUACAGUAGGUCUGUACGCUGCAGUUUUAUGUGUUCUCUAUGUAGGGCCCCAGAGAGAACAGCUGUGCUGCCAUAGACUUUAUAAAUGAAAUACAUUGUAGAAGAAAAAACAUUACAAAGCCACUGUUUCUCACUCUGUGCUUUAGUCCAACAGCCCGGCUUGCUGUGAUCAUUCUUCAUUACACUGAGUUUGUAAUUUACCAUCGCUAUUUUGAGUUGGUUUACUUAGCGAUUUACAGCCCCUGGUUUUAUCUCUCAUAAUCUUUUUACCUCACAGUUCAGAACUGCUUUCUCCUUUUCUAAGCAGACAGUAUUUAAGAAGACAAACUAUGAUGGUUUGGCUAAUGAGUUUGAUAAGAUAUCAAAAAUACAAACACACACAUUUUCGCACCAUACGCUAGUUGUAUUUUUACAAUUAUAACGGUGUUUUAUUGUGGGGGGUUGCAGUCACACUGAAUAGCGUUUCUGGAUUCAUUUUAGAAUGACAAUGGAUUAUUAUGCACGAAGCAUUACAUUUGCAAAUGAAGUCUGGAUUCAAAAUUAAGUUUGGAUUCUUUUUGCAUUCAUUUUCCUGUAACCGUUUCACAUUAUAAAGGCAUUCAUUAAACAGUCACUGUAUAUUGAUGACAGUAUUUACAGUUACUUUUCAUUUAAGAAAGCCAUCAAUUGAAAAGACGUGCAAGUGGUGAGGAGAAAGCCAUCCUGAGAAAUGACAUGAUGCGGAUUUCUAGAGCAUUGCUCCACUUGCUCGGUGCAGUAUUUGCAGGCUGUGGACCUCAUGCUGAAAGGCACUGGGCAUCAGAGAAAUGUCAGGACCCAGAGCAGGCACACCUAGCUCCCUGAGCAUCUGCCCAAGACCAGCCCCUGGUUGGUGGAAAGUGAUUGCGUCUCCUGAUCAAAGGUGUGCCUUGACGUGACUCAGUCAGGAACAGGUGCUCCUAACAGCCAUCGCGAGGACCCCUGCCAGCUCACUAACAGAGAAACCUGCUUAGAUGUGAUAUACGUCUCUAAUAGAGGGAACUACUAGACCAAGGCUGUUAGCAGCUCAUUCAGGUAUUUUUAGCUCAUUGGUAGAGCACUCAGCUAUGAGCUAGAACAUACAGCACUCAGUUCUAGGUCACAUAAACAAAUCCUGCUUUGAAAAAAAAAAUAAUAAUCACUUGAUCAUUCACGACCAUGACACGCUUGAGUGACUAUGACUGAAGCAUAUGCGCUUAAUCACCUAAUUAGUGAGACAGUUGAUUGGACUCUGGAUAUGGAGUGAUUUCAGCUGUUGAAUAAAGCUUGAAUAAAAGCAAUAAAGAAAAUCACAGAAAAAAAAAAACAAUAUGCCACGUCUGGCAAGAGAGCAGCGCCUUCGUGCGAUCGGCAUGUUGGAGGCUGGACUAGGGCAGCGUGCUGUGGCUCGAGACGGUAUAACCAGACACACUCUGUCAAUGACAGCCCACGAACCGGGAGACCAAGAGUCACACCACCAGCCCAAGAUCGACAGAUCAUUCUGCAGCAUCUUCGUGAUGUCAA